UUAGCUCCGAAUUGGACGGGCUAUAUGCGGUCUGCUUUAGCCCACCUGGCGAAAUUAUUGCAAUCUGGGCUCAGAUAUAGACCAGCGACCUAGAAUAUUAGUCUUUGGAAUGUUUUCGCUUACACAGCUUAAUAUAUAUUUUCUGUCAAACAUUCAUACACAAUCUACGAUAAAAAUAUCUAAUCAAAUGCAAUUGCAUUUCCCAACCGCUAGAUGGCACAAUUGAAACACUACUGAGACAUGUCUACUGGAACUAAUGCCAUUGCGUGACUAGAUCACUUAAGCCAAAUCUCGCGAUAAACAUUUCCGCCAUUUUAUUUUACACGAGGCAGCUGUCGGAGUGCAACGGGUGAGCAACAGUCUGAGUGAAAACCUUCACAUUUCUACUUCGAUCUUAAGAAAGCCAUACAGGUUUGGAACCAAGUGAAAACGCAGUGAUGACCAGCUUUCCAUCAGCUAUGGAAUGUGAAAUAAAAAAUGCUAUUUCUAAUCAUUUCAAACAAGCACCAGGGAGGGCAGGGGGUGGGGGUUAUGUAUCUAAAGUAAACAGUUAAUUCUUAAAAAUUAAUUGUUUUACAUAUUUUUCCAAUGUUUUAUUUGUUCAUUUUUAUGUUUGAAUGUUGUCCAAGUUGUUGUUGUCUAUAUAAUUGUUCAAAAUAAAUCCCUUUAUAUUCAAUUAGUUUGGAUGGAUUUUAAUUUAUGAGAACCUGUUAUAUUUGAGUGAAAAGAAUCCUUAUGCCUCUUUUUUGUUGUCUAUUACAUGUAUAUGUAGUGUAAUGGAUGACUAGUCUAUUCUUGGGCUAUGGUUAGACGUCUAUUAGAUUUUCACUGACAGCCCAAAAUCAGCCUUGUUUUAGCCUAGACCCAUAUUGCCUGUCUAUUAGACGUAUGUAGUUGUUUAGCGGUCUAAUUGAUGACUAGUCUAUUCUUGGGCUAUGUUUAGACGUCUAUUGGACGUAUAAAUAUAGUCGUUCAAUAGCUGUCUGAUUGUCUAUUCUUGGGCUAUGGUUAGACAUCUAUUAGACGUAUAUAUGUAGUCAUUUAAUAGCUGUCUAUUCUUGGGGUAUGUUUAGACGUCUAUUGGACGUAUAAAUAUAGUCGUUCAAUAGCUGUCUGAUUGUCUAUUCUUGGGCUAUGGUUAGACAUCUAUUAGACGUAUAUAUGUAGUCAUUUAAUAGCUGUCUAUUCUUGGGGUAUGUUUAGACGUCUAUUAGAUUUUCACUGACAGCCCAAAGUUAGCC